AUACAGAGGGUGCGAGCGUUAAUCGGAUUUACUGGGCGUAAAGCGCGCGUAGGCGGCUAAUUAAGUCAAAUGUGAAAUCCCCGAGCUUAACUUGGGAAUUGCAUUCGAUACUGGUUAGCUAGAGUGUGGGAGAGGAUGGUAGAAUUCCAGGUGUAGCGGUGAAAUGCGUAGAGAUCUGGAGGAAUACCGAUGGCGAAGGCAGCCAUCUGGCCUAACACUGACGCUGAGGUGCGAAAGCAUGGGGAGCAAACAGGAUUAGAGACCCGAGUAGUCC
rnacentral:rRNA from 1 species